AGGGCAGCAGAGUCAGGAGGUGGGAUGAUAAAAGCAAGAAGUUGGAGGGAUACGAGGAAGGGAUCAUUAACCAACGAUUGCAAAAGGCCUCUGGAAGCUGGAAAAGGCACAGACACGGAUUCUUCCCUGGAGCUUCUGGGAGCAACCAGCCCUGCUGACACCUUGACUUUAGCCCAGUGAGAAUGACUGCAGACUCUGAGCUCCAGAACAGAUUUGAAGCACCCACUUCUCCUUCCCCUUUUCCUCCCAGGCCAGCCCCAUCCAGUAGCAAAACUAGAUGAGGAAAAGAAAGGCAAAGAACUCACACUGGAGUUUGAGCUACAAUCAAUCGAUUAUUUUCAUCAAUACAUCCCUAGGCUUUACCUCUCUUUACAUCUCAAAAUCGCCUCUGCAACAUCAUAUGUCCAAGACAGAACUCCCCUUCCUCCUGCAUAACUCACCAUAGCUCAGCUGAACUAACUAAAAAAUCCAAGAACUGAAAGAAGACAGAACAAGAGAAAGAGGAUACAACAAUUAGAUGCCAGUCGUGUUCUUGAGAGGAUAUUCUAGGGAGAAGCCAACCACAUGGACAGCAUGGACAACCUCUGUACAGAGACAGAAUUCUUAUGGUUGGAACCAGGAAAACACAGCAAUUACCUGGGUAAAAUGACUCAAGACUGAUGGGAAUGAGAAUGGCUCAGCUGAUGCAGGGAAAGAACGAGUUUCUCUCUCCUCACGGCUGCCUGGGACACAUGCGGAGUCGAUUGUCACAUUAAAAAGCCGAGGGAUAAGCAAAAACACAUCCAAAGCAGGCAGCCAGAAGGAAGAGAAGUCUGGGGUCCAAGUCACAGGAUGCACAUUGGAGGCAACUGGGAAUGCCUCCUCUGCAGAGGGGACAAGUAAGGAGCAAUACAGUCACUGAUUCAAACAUCUGGAGCACUCAAAGUUUGCUAAAGAAAAUGGCCUCCUGCUCCAUCUGUGUUGCUGCAAAGGACAUUGAGACUGUUUUACUUCCUUAUACCAUAUAUGAAAACCAACUCAAGAUGGAUUAAGACUUAAAUGUAAAACCCAAAGCUAUAAAAACCCUGGAAGACAACCUACGAAAUGUCAUUCUGGACAUAGGAAUGGGCAAAGAUCUAAUGGCAAAGAUGCUAAAAGCAAUUGCAACAAAGGCAAAAACUGACAAAUGAGAUCUAAUUAAACUAAAGAGCUUCUGCACAGCAAAAGAAACUAUCAGCAAACUAAACAGAUAACCUAGAGAAUGGUAGAACGUUUUUGCAAACUAUGCAUCAGACAGAGGUCUAAUAUCCAGCACCUAUAAAAAACUUAAAUUUACAAGACAAAAACAAGCUCAUUAAAUAUGGGCAAAGGACAUGAACAGACACUUUUCAAAAGAAGACACACAUACAGCCAACAAGCAUAUGAAAAAAAGUUCAGCAUCACUGAUCAUGAAAGAAAUGUAAAUCAAAGCCACAACGAGAUACCAUCUCACAUCACUCAAAAUGGCUAUUGUUAAAAAAUCAAAAAAUAACCAGUGCUGGCAAGGUUGCAGAGAAAAGGGAAUGCUUAUACACUGCUGGUGGGAGGGUAAAUUAGUUCAACCAUUGUGGAAUGCAGUGUGGCACUUCCUCAAAGACCUAAAAAUAGAACUAUUAUUCCACCAAGCAAUCCCAUUACUGGUAUAUACCAAAGGAUUAUAAAUCCUUCUAUCAUAAAGACACACACACAUACGUUCACUGCAGCACUAUUCACAAUAGCAAAGACAUGGAAUCAACCUAAAUGCCCGUCAAUGGUAGACUGGGUAAAGAAAAUAAGGCACAUAGACACCAUUUCUUUACAUUUCCAUUUUUGUGGGAAAAAAAAUCCAUCUAUGUUUCCUGUGUGCUUGCUCGGAGCAUUAAGAAAUAUAAAAUCAGAUCAACUUAGAAAAAAUGUUAAAAGUUUAUUGUGCACACUAAGAACAGUUCUCAAACUGGGAGACUUCAAACUGAAAGUAGUAAGAAGCCUCAAGAAAAGCAGCCACAGCGCAGAUUAUAAAGCACAAAGGAGGAGUAUUUUAACCUUUUUUUUCUUGCCUGUUGUAUAUUACCAUCCCUUUUAGGGAAGUAGAGUUGUUUAAGCUCAUUUGUCGCUAGUCGAUUGUUUUGAUUUCAACUGAACCAUGUUCAUAGAGCUUAUGUUUUGUUUCCGUCAUGAUUAGAGCAUUAUGGGGAAAUCAGGAUGACUUAAGUUUUGACUACAUGGUUAUGGGCAGUUGGCCCUGGGGUAUAUCUAAACUAUGGCCUUGGUUCUUCCUUCUUUUUUAAUAGUAUCAUUUCAGGCAUUUCUGUCUCCUUGCAAACUUGAAAUAGACACCUGAAAUAGCAGCAGCCAGUCCCCAAAAUCACUGUGGGUUCUUUCUUCCCAUCAAGCAUACCCAGAACCUCUAUUUCCAUUUUCCCAUAGAAUCUUAGGUUUUUAAGCCCUUGAUGGUGCCCUAGAUUCAGUCUCUAAUCCAUGCCACACCUGCACCAUCUCUCAGGGGCAGCCAUUCUUAGUCCUGUGCCACAGGGGCUAUUUCCACCAUCUGUAGCUAUGGAACUACUUGGGACAUGAAACCCAUCUGCUAGGAAAGACUUCUUCAUUCAUAAUUCAUCUUAGCUGAAGAAUCACCACUAAUAGAUUCCUGCACUAAAGCAGUUUUGUUGCUUCUGAAAUUAAAUUUUUGAUGCAUUGGUAUUUAAUUUCCCUGUGCUAGUCCCCAACCCCUUUCAAGGCUACUUGAGUUUCUUAACAAUUUAGUCUACUUCUUAAACCAGUCCUUUUUCUUCUCUAGUCUAUGUAAGAGCUAAUGCUGCCUGCAGGAACUGAGUGGCUCCCUUCCAUUUACUUUGUCUUUGCUUUCCGUCUCAGGCAAUUAUUUUUAUAACUACUCUGGAUUCAUCUGUGAGGUCUACCAUAGUAAGAGAGAAGAAAUCAACAAGCUCUCUGUUCACCGUUCAGAUUUUGUUUACCAUACUCUCAAUGACAUGGAUAAUCUCCCCAAGAGAGAUUCUUCCAUCAGACAGUUAACAAAAACCUGAACUUGGUCUCUGAUUGUCACAUCUACAUUUCUUCGUAUCUUUCUACUACCUUCCAUUAAGAUCCUAAUUUCAUAAAUUCAUCAACUAAGGUCAAUAAGUUCUCUCAGAGUAAAUGCAAUGCUUGUAUCUCCCCGUGAUGACUGUGUCACAUGGAAACUCACGUAAGAAAUGCUUUGAAUAUCUCUUAUGCAUUUUCUAAGUCUGUCCAGAUUUCUACAACUCCUUGGUACAGCUGUUCCAGUCUUUAAGUAGUAGUUCCCCAGUUGCUCCAAGUGAGGUCCUGUGGGUUUAGAAAGUCACCUCUCAGUGACUUGGGUUUUCUUAGGGUUAUCAUCCUGGACUUCUCUCUCUUGGGUUCCAUACACCAUUUAUGAUUUAGUAACAACAAACAUGUAUUUCCCUCUUUAAAAGCAGUUAGAAUUUAGGUACCUUUUUCUGCCCCUUGUAUGUUGGUCUAACUCCAUCUUCAACGUACCUUUCUCCCUGUAUUCUUUCUUAGUGAAUAAAUAAUCUCUUCCUCCAGCGUAUCCUGCCUACUUUCCUUUAUUAAUCUUCCUCUGUUUCUGGAUUUAAUGGAACUGAAGUACCAUCUUUUAACCACUCUAGUUUUUUCUUUUCUUGAGCAAAUGGGAUAAUUGGAGGCAACCAGUUGCAGGCACAGAACACUUUGAUAUCCUUGUGUUUGGGUUUCUAAUAAUGUCAUUUAGUUGAUUUUCUGUCUCAAGGGGAUAGCAAUUUCUUUCUAAUAAGAGUUCAUAUCUCUUAUUUCCUAAUUAAUAAAGUCUAAUGCACAUCUAUGGUGAAAUCACAAUUUGGGUCUCAGAUAGCAAGUCAGGGUUAGAACUUAAGAUAUUAAUGUAUUCAGAGCCAAUUUGGGAUUCUAUAAUGGGAGAGGGAGUCUUAAAAGUCUGUGGAAAUGCCACAUGAAAGGUUAGCAGGUGCCUUCACAGCCCUCCUUGAUCCUGAAAGAGGUCUUCUCUUGAAUCUGGAAUACCCAAUCUAGAUUAUCUAGCUGGUCUUGGUACUAACCAUGUAGACCUAGAGCCCCUCUAGUGCUCUGUUAUACAUGCAGAGCUAGUUGCCUUGCAGUUUAAAAGUGGCAAAUAUUCUUCUGACCACCAAUGUUUAAAAUGCCUGUAAAACUCUUCUCUACAAUGGAAUCUUGUCUCAAUUUAGGACAAGGUUGGUCUGUGCAUUAAGCCAAAGCAGUCUCUACCUGAAGCACCCAACACAGCUAAAGGACUGUGUCUUAUUUUCUCACGAGUUGCAUAAGUCAUAGGUUGCAGUCACCUGCCAAGCUUAAAAUUCCUCAUGACAGCCAGAGCUUUCUUCCCAGGCUACAGAAGUUCAAAGCCAAAUGCAAACAAGUAAAAAUCAGUUUGACCUAAAAUAAGUCUCUAUAAACUAUUAUAAGUCUUUAUAAACUAUUAUACUCAAUACAUUUAAUCCCUAAAGUCCAAGACCCACAUUUGUAGGCCUUGGAUGCACAAAAACUUUCUCCUUCCAAACUUUCUCUUUUAUUAUUAUUUCUCAAUGUUCCUGGUGAAUAUACCAAAUUUUGAGGUUUCUGAGGGUUACUCCCCAAUAAAUGGCACCAUUAUUCUAUGCUCUGCUUAGAACAAGUUGAGAUCAACAAAACAGAUUCAGUGGGAAGCCAAAAUAUAACCUGUUACUGAUAGAAAUUAGGCCAGAAGACACGGUUUUAGGUGGGGGCAGUGCUAGACUUUAGGCCUCCUUACAGGCAAGAAGCCUGACUACUUACACAUAGGCUCAUUCUCAACAGAAAAACAGUUGGAGCCACGUCAAGUAGGUUCACUGAUUCUUCUCAAAGAUGAGAAUUAAAUAAAAUACUCCAUCUCUCUAAGAGCUGGAUGAAUAAAGACAGGCCUGCAGUAACACUACUGAAGCUUACUUCCAGGAAAGAAAGAUUAGAAACAGGAAACAAUUAUUCCUGGAUGACAAUAACUUACAGUUAAAAUCUUUGCUUACUGCUUUUUAUAUUGAAAGUAACUUUUCUCAAGAUAUUUGUGCAAUUCAGAUAGUGCAAUACUCUCAUAGUUAGUUUUCAAUACCAUGUUGCACCUCAAUUUAAUAUAUCUCAUUUGUGGAAUAUCAAUGUUUCACAAUAUCAAUGUCAAUUCAUUUUUUAUAAAAUUUGAUAUCUGAAAGCCAAUUUUAAAAUUCAGUCUUCAACUUCACAGUUUGGGGAAUGGAUUCAUACUUAGGUCUGUUAUUUAAAUGUCUGGGUAUUCUUUUCCCACAAGAUUGUAGACCAGAUUAUUCCCAGACAAAUAGUUUCCUAACGAGCCAACUGCAGAAUGUGUGAAUUGGAUCAUAUGUGUGUGCAAUGCUUUAAGAAUGACCUUACACAAAAAAUAGUCACUGUUUAGAUGGGUUAUACAGUUGACCCCUGAAAAACAUGGGUUUGAACUGCAUGGGUCCAUUUAUAUGUAGGUUUUAUUUUGCCUCUGCCACCCCUGAGACAGCAAAGCCAACCCCUCCUCCUCAACAGCCUGCUCAACACAAAGACAGAAAGGAUGAAGACCUUUAUAAUGAUCCACUUCUACUUAGUAAAUAUAUAUUUUUAGAUAGUAAAUAUAUUUUUUCUUCCUCAGGACCUUCUUAAUAACCUUUUCUUUCCUCUUAUCUGACUUUAUGGUAAGAAUGUAAUAUACACGACAUACAAAAUACGUGUUAUCUGAGUAUUUCUGUUGUUGGUAAGGCUCUGGUCAACAUUAGUCUAUUAAGUUUGGGGGAGUCAAAAGUUCUAUGUUGAUUUUCAACUGUGACGGGUUGAUGCUCCAACCCCCGACAUUGUUCAAGGGUCAACUAUAUUAUAAACUAAGGAAUCCAAUCUUUGUAAAGCAGGAAAUGGGGGUAGAGAAAAAUUAGUAGAUUUUCCCUUGGAUGACAUGAACAAUUCAAAAAUCAUUUGCAUAUAUCCUUGUGUAACUACAGCAGACGCUUUAAUUAUGGACCCAAUUUAUCAACAAAGCAUUAUGCUCUCAAGCCAUAAGAAUCAAUCUAGUUCAUGAUGUUAAUUUCUCAUUCCAUGGAGGGUUUUGGCUUGCUUUUCAAAGAAAUUCAUGCUGAAUCAGGCAAUUAGUAAAUUUAAGUUUUAUACCCUUCCAACUGAAUUUAUUUUGUGAGGAAAAAAAUCCGAAAGUAAUAUCAACUACCACAGAAGAAUUGUCUUAGUUAUGUUUUCUAAUUUUGAUCAAUGUAUAUUAAGCUUAUUGACUUCCUUUCAAAAUUAAAAAAAAGUUGUGACUCAUGAGCACCAAGUUUUCAAAUCCUUUAUUAAAAUUAUCAUGUACAAAACUAACUUAAUUCAGUGAUGUAUUUUAAAUAUCUGCACUUUGAUCACUAUUAAAAACAGCAUAAAAUGAGUUUGUCCUGUAAGUUAACUGUAUUUUCAAAACAAUACUUAUGUUUAGAUAUACUUUUGCUAAUGUUUGUUUUUCUAAGUCAAUAUAUAUUGUACUCACUCAUUUAUGAAACUGACAUUUGCAAAUUGUUUUGCUAUUCUGACAAUUUUUCAUACAGUAAAUAUUAAUUUUACAAGAACAUAAUUUAUUUCAAUUAAUUUAAAAUCAAAGCCUGAUUAAAUUUUGAUGUUUUCUCAGUGUAUCAAUUUAAAAAUCAUCUUCAUACCUAAUCAUAACCUGUUGUAUGAUGUUUCAUAAUGAUAUAUUAAGCUGUAUUCCUUCAAAAUAGAUACAUUUUAUUAUAAAUUAAAAAUAUCCUUUACAUCUAUAAAGAAAUACGCAUGCUCAAUUUUUCUUGAACCAUAUAACCCUCUCUUACCUCUCAUUUUACACCAAUUUUGAUAAAAGGUUUGGUUAUUAGAAAGUUUAUUUUUCUCAUCUCCACAAUUUAAAAACAAAGAAAAAACUGUGUAAAAUAAUAGCUAAAACUGGUGAGAAAUGGAAAAUGCAUACCUAUGUAAAAAAGAUAGCCACUCCACAAUUCAAAUUAGUAACAUAAAGAUCAAAUUUGAUUUUUUAAGAAAAUCAAGAAGUUAAUGUUUUUGAAGUAUUUCUAUAUUUUUAAAUAUUGACAAUUAAUAAUUGAAAACAAUGUGUAAGCUAGCACUAUGUAAAUCAAAGAAAACAGACAAAUGUUAACAUGUAAUUAAUAUUCUCAACCCAGGAGACAGUUGAUUGUUGAAACAGAAACCUGAACACAUCAUAACUCUAAUACUUUUUUGUUUGUUGGUUUGUUUUUUUUUGAGACAGAGUCUUACUCUGUAGUCCAGGCUGGAGUGUGGUGGUGCAAUCUCGGCUCACUAAAACCUCUGCCUCUCGGUUCAAGUGAUUCUCUUGCCUCAGCCUCCUGAGUAGCUGGGAUGACAGACACGCACCACUACUCCCAGCUAAUUUUUUGUAUUUUUAUUAGAAACAGGGCUUCACCACGUUGGCCAGGCUGGUCUCAAACUCCUUACCUCAACUGAUCUGCCAGCCUCGGCCUCCUUUGGGAUUACAGGCAUGAGCCACUGAGCCUGGCCUACUCUAAUAUUCUUUAGUGGCAUCCUUUCUCACUUAAAAAAAAAAAUCACUGCAAUUGUCCUACAAGGCUCUAUAUCAGUGAUGGCCUGGAGAAGGGUUAUACUAGCUCACAAGAGCUGACUGUUAUAUUUUCCAUUGCUAGCUUGAAAUUGGCCAUGGUGAGAGUGUUUACACCAGAAAAACUGCAAACACUACAGAUCAGGACCUUUUAUUAUUGAUUUUUUUCCCUAGAGAGCCAGCUGCUAAACAUUUACCAGAAUACCAGUACCCUAUAUGAUCUAUCCCACCUCACCUCCAUGUUAGCUCAAUGUUCUCACCUCAUCUUUUGCCACUUUCCCAUUUGCCCAACCUACUCCACUGGCAUAUUCCUUCCUGCUUCAGGUCUUGCAUAUACUGUUUAGUUUGCCUGGACUAUGUAAAUUACUGUGUAACACAGUCUACCUAAAACAACAAACCAAAAUUCUCCACCUCCACAGCACACAUGACAUAGAAUAUUUUAUCAGUUUAUCUAUCUGUCUGUCUGCCUGUCUGUCUGCCUGUCUAUCUAUCUAUCUAUCAUCCUGCAUUCAUCUCUUCGUGAUAGGCUGUAAACUCCACAAAGGAAACUGAUGUCAAUUUUGUCCUGCUGUAUCCCCAGUACCUUAAAAAAGCCAUGGCAAACAGCAGGUGCUCAAUAAAUAUUUUUCUGAACAAAUGAAUGGAUAGAAGUUGCCCUUAGUGGUCUAAAUCUAAAUAUUUACAUUUCUAUCUCUUUUUAAUAGAAAUUACUUGCCAUGUUGAGUAUGAAGAAUUAUUGAUUUUUAAAUGCACAAAUAGCUGUUUUGAAUGACACCCAUGCUUUUGGUUUAAAUCUCUUAUGCUCAUCUGAGUAUACCUAGCCAUGAGUCCAUCUAGUCUGCCUGUUAUGGUUCAUUUGAUGACAAAUACAGGGAGAGAUGAAAGCAACAUCCAUCUACAAGGGAUAAAGGCCAGAGCUUGACAAAUGACUGUCAAAAUGGAGAGAGGGGUCAACUUACAUGCUAAAGGUUUACACCCGGUAUCUAGAAGAAAAGUAGUACCCUGACACAAGCAAUAAGCUAAGAGAAGUAGCUGGUUUAACAGAUGCUGGUGAAUUUGUUUUAGAUAAACCAAAAUUGAAAUGGCUGAUGGUUGUAUUAGGAAAAGCACCUCAUGUCUGGAUGUGGGAAUCAUCAACACAUGUACUCUUUUUGAACUCAAAACUGAGUUGUCUCAUGAACAGAAGUAGAAAGGGGGAAGGAGCAUGGAAAAGACAGAUAUUAAGCUGAUCAUUGAAUAAAGAAAAUUAGGUAGAACCCCAGAUAAUCCCCACUGCUGUAGAACAUGGAAAAGAAUCAGAAAAGAUGACAUCGAGAAAGGAACAAUGGGAAAGGUCUACUUUGGGCUGGAAGAGAUCAAAAGCUCAGUGUGGAACAUGUUCAGUUUGAGAUGUCUCUGAAGUAUCUGUGAACGAACGUCAGAUAGGUGUUUAGAUGCAUAAGUGUGAAAUUCAGCUAAAGUUUGAGCUCAUAUAAAUGGAGUUAACAGCUAAUAGAUGGUAUAUAAAGCCUUGGGCAUGUAUAAGGUCACCCAGGGAGAGAAUCUUAUGAGCAGCAGAGAGUCGAGAAUAAAGCUAUAUUCCACAUUUGAUGGCUUGGUAAGAAAAAGCCUGUAAAGUGAGCAGCCAAAGAUGUAGGCGAAAAAAUACAAGAGAAUAUUUGUCUCAGGGAAACCAUGGAAAAAGGAGAUUCAAGAAAGGGCAACACAUAUUGCUGAGGUCAAUUAAAAGUUCACUGGAUACAGAGCAAGAAUUCACUGGAUGGAGAUGCACACAUACAUACAUCCCUUUUAGACUAAACUGUAUUUUUGAAGUUAUAAGAAGGAAAACCAGAUUAAAAUGGAUUGCAAACUAAGAAAAUGUAGGCAAUAUGAACAGAAAACACUUAAAAAAUGUGUAAAGAGUAGAAAGAGAGGGUGCAAGAUGAGGAUGUGAGGUAUAUGAAUGAUUUUUUUUU
rnacentral:lncRNA from 10 species